GACCUGGUAGCUCAGCUGGUAGAGCAUCUCCCUUUUAAGGAGAGGGUCCAGGGUUCGAACCCCUGCCAGGUCA
rnacentral:tRNA from 2 species